CAAAAGUAGCAAAUAAAAAGCCAAUUAAGUCAUAAAAAUCAUCCAUUUAGCUUAAAAUCAACAGUAAAUUUGAAGAAGCUCUUACCUUCUUCGGCAGCGCUUUUCCUGAAUUUUUUACCGUUUAAAGAUUGUCUGGUUCCCGUUGUUGAGAAUUGGAGGGUCCUCGAAUGCUGUAGCGGAGAGUGCACCGUUGAUAGGACCGAGCUACAGUACAGCUUCAAACACGGAUUAAUGAAUCUUCAUUAGAUAAACACCUGGUAGCAAAAGGAGAAUCAAUGGGAAUAUAAGUUAAUAUAAACAUAUAUUCAUCUCAUAUCCUCCCUAGAAAGGAUAUUAAGAAAAAUAAUUAUCUAACAUUGAGGGAACCAAAUAAAACUCUACCAAAUACCCAUCAUUUGAAAGGAUUUUACCAAAUAAUCAUCGCAUAUGAUUCUCAUAUUAGACGAGACAACCUAAUACAAAUUAUUUCACCUCCUGAAAUAUGAAAGCUAAAUUAAAAAUUAGUCAAAUCUUACAUUAUCAUACAAAAUGUCGGAUUUAUAGACCAUAGAGUGUUGCGGAAGUUGGGGCAUUAAAAUUGCAUAUAUAGGUGCCUGCUAUUUACCUCAUAAAUAGGUAAAUUAAUACCUAGAGUUUUGAGGGCUGGGCUUCAUAGAUGGUGGACGGCGUCUAGCUGAACGCAGUGGCAGCGAUUGGAAACGAAGAUGACGGCCGGCGACUGCAGGGGGCGUGGUCUUGGGCAACGACGGCGGCUGGAAGGAAAUGGGCAAUGACGGCGGCACCGACGGGAGUAAACUUAGGGAGCGAAGAUUGACAGCGUCAAUUUAAUCGACGGUGAGAAUGACGGGAAAGGGGAGGGAGUGUGGAGGAAGAGAGAGUAAAA
rnacentral:lncRNA from 1 species